AUACGGAGGGUGCAAGCGUUAUUCGGAAUCACUGGGCGUAAAGGACGCGUAGGCGGGUUGGCAAGUCAGAUGCGAAAUCCUACAGCUUAACUGUAGAACUGCAUUUGAAACUGCUAACCUAGAGUAUGGGAGGGGGAGAUGGAAUUAGUGGUGUAGGGGUAAAAUCCGUAGAUAUCACUAGGAAUACCGAAAGCGAAGGCGAUCUCCUGGAACAUAACUGACGCUAAGGCGUGAAAGCGUGGGGAGCAAACAGGAUUAGAAACCCUAGUAGUCC
rnacentral:rRNA from 1 species